AGUCCAUUCGUUCUUAGCAAU
rnacentral:snRNA from 1 species